rnacentral:piRNA from 1 species
UAUUAAGGAAGAUGGAGAAAGGUGCUUAG